rnacentral:rRNA from 1 species
UACGAAGGGGGCUAGCGUUGCUCGGAAUCACUGGGCGUAAAGGGUGCGUAGGCGGGUCUUUAAGUCAGGGGGGAAAUCCUGGAGCUCAACUCCAGAACUGCCUUUGAUACUGAAGAUCUUGAGUUCGGGAGAGGUGAGUGGAACUGCGAGUGUAGAGGUGAAAUUCGUAGAUAUUCGCAAGAACACCAGUGGCGAAGGCGGCUCACUGGCCCGAUACUGACGCUGAGGUGCGAAAGCGUGGGGGGCAAACAGG